rnacentral:rRNA from 1 species
GAUGAACGCUGGCGGCGUGCUUAACACAUGCAAGUCGAACGAUGAAGCCCAGCUUGCUGGGUGGAUUAGUGGCGAACGGGUGAGUAACACGUGAGUAACCUGCCCUUAACUCUGGGAUAAGCCUGGUAAACUGGGUCUAAUACCGGAUAGGAGCGUCCACCGCAUGGUGGGUGUUGGAAAGAUUUAUCGGUUUUGGAUGGACUCGCGGCCUAUCAGCUUGUUGGUGAGGUAAUGGCUCACCAAGGCGACGACGGGUAGCCGGCCUGAGAGGGUGACCGGCCACACUGGGACUGAGACACGGCCCAGACUCCUACGGGAGGCAGCAGUGGGGAAUAUUGCACAAUGGGCGCAAGCCUGAUGCAGCGACGCCGCGUGAGGGAUGACGGCCUUCGGGUUAUAAACCUCUUUCAGUAGGGAAGAAGCGAAAGUGACGGUACCUGCAGAAGAAGCACCGGCUAACUACGUG